rnacentral:rRNA from 1 species
UACGUAGGGUGCGAGCGUUGUCCGGAAUUAUUGGGCGUAAAGAGCUUGUAGGCGGUUUGUCGCGUCUGCUGUGAAAAUCCGGGGCUCAACCCCGGACUUGCAGUGGGUACGGGCAGACUAGAGUGUGGUAGGGGAGACUGGAAUUCCAGGUGUAGCGGUGAAAUGCGUAGAUAUCUGGAGGAACACCGGUGGCGAAGGCGGCAUCCUGGACCGAUACUGACGCUGAGGAGCGAAAGCCAGGGGAGCAAACGGG